GGUUAAGUUAAUAAGAGCGCACGGUGAAUGCCUAGGCACUAGGAGCCGAAGAAGGACGCGACGAACGGCGAAACGCCUCGGAGAGCAGUAAGUAAGCGACGACCCGGGGAUAUCCGAAUGGGGAAACCCACUAGUGGUCAUACACUAGUACCGAUGUGUGAAUACAUAGCACAUCAGGAGGCAGACCCAGGGAACUGAAACAUCUAAGUACCUGGAGGAAGAGAAAGAAAAAUCGAUUCCCGGAGUAGCGGCGAGCGAAAAGGGAAAAGCCCAAACCAGAGCAAUCUGGGGUUGUAGGACCUUCAACAAAUGAGAAAAAGGUCAUAUUAUAGACGAAUUACCUGGGAAGGUAAACCAAAGACGGUGACAGUCCGGUAGUUGAAAUAAUAUGAACUCUAGAAGGGAUCCUGAGUACGAUCGGACACGAGAAAUCCGGUCGGAAUCUGCGAGGACCAUCUCGCAAGGCUAAAUACUACCUAGUGACCGAUAGUGAACCAGUACCGUGAGGGAAAGGUGAAAAGAACCCCGGAAGGGGAGUGAAAGAGAACCUGAAACCGUGUGCUUACAAGUAGUCAGAGCCCGUUAAAGGGUGAUGGCGUGCCUUUUGUAGAAUGAACCGGCGAGUUACGAUAUCGUGCGAGGUUAAGAUGAAGAAUCGGAGCCGCAGCGAAAGCGAGUCUUAAUAGGGCGUAUAGUACGAUGUCGUAGACCCGAAACCGUGUGAGCUAGCCAUGUGCAGGAUGAAGGUUGGGUAACACCAACUGGAGGUCCGAACCAGGGUACGUUGAAAAGUGCUUGGAUGACGUGUGGCUAGAGGUGAAAUUCCAAUCGAACACGGAUAUAGCUGGUUCUCCCCGAAAUAGCUUUAGGGCUAGCCUCGUGAAAGAGUGUACCGGAGGUAGAGCACUGAAUGUGUGAUGGUCCCACCUCGGGAUACUGAGCAUAAUCAAACUCCGAAUGCCGGUAAUACAAACACGGGAGUCAGACUAUGGGUGAUAAGGUCCAUGGUCGAGAGGGAAAGAGCCCAGACCGCCAGCUAAGGUCCCUAAAUGUACGUUAAGUGGGAAAGGAUGUGGAGAUGCACAGACAACUAGGAGGUUGGCUUAGAAGCAGCCAUCCUUUAAAGAGUGCGUAAUAGCUCACUAGUCGAGUGACUCUGCGCCGAAAAUGUACCGGGGCUAAACGUACUACCGAAGCUGCGGAUUCAAAUGAAUGGUAGGGGAGCGUUCUAACAUCGGAGAAGGUAGACCGGAAGGACUACUGGAGAGGUUAGAAGUGAGAAUGCCGGUGUGAGUAGCGAAAAGAUAGGUGAGAAUCCUAUCCGUCGAAAACCUAAGGUUUCCAGAGGAAGGCUCGUCCGCUCUGGGUAAGUCGGGACCUAAGGUGAGGCUGAAAAGCGUAGCCGAUGGACAACAGGUAGAAAUUCCUGUACUGCCUAAAUGACUGAUGGAGUGACGGAGAAGGCUAGGGUGAGCGUGUGACUGGUAGAGCACGUCGAAGCAGUAAGGCUAAUUAGUAGGCAAAUCCGCUAAUUGUAAGGCUGAGCUGUGAUCGGGAAAGCACCUGAUGUCAUGCUUCCAAGAAAAACUUCUAGGGUUAAUCAUAUAGGUACCCGUACCGAUAACCGACACAGGUAGGUGAGGAGAGAAUCCUAAGACGCGCGAGAGAACUCUCGUUAAGGAACUCGGCAAAAUGACCCCGUAACUUCGGGAGAAGGGGUGCUUGUGAGAGCAAGCCGCAGUGAAAAGGCCCAAGCGACUGUUUAUCAAAAACACAGGUCUCUGCUAAACCGUAAGGUGAAGUAUAGGGGCUGACGCCUGCCCGGUGCUGGAAGGUUAAGGGGAAGUGUUAUACUUAGGUAGAAGCAUAGAACCGAAGCCCCAGUAAACGGCGGCCGUAACUAUAACGGUCCUAAGGUAGCGAAAUUCCUUGUCGGGUAAGUUCCGACCCGCACGAAAGGCGUAACGAUUUGGGCACUGUCUCAACGAGAGACUCGGUGAAAUCAUAGUACCUGUGAAGAUGCAGGUUACCCGCGACAGGACGGAAAGACCCCGUGGAGCUUUACUGUAGCUUGAUAUUGAACUUUGGUGUAAGAUGUACAGGAUAGGUAGGAGACAAAGAAGCAUGCACGCUAGUGUGUGUGGAGUCGACGUUGGGAUACUACCCUUGUUGCACUGGAGUUCUAACCUACAGCCGUAAUCCGGUUGGGGGACAGUGUCAGGUGGGCAGUUUGACUGGGGCGGUCGCCUCCCAAAGAGUAACGGAGGCGCUCAAAGGUUUCCUCAGACUGGUUGGAAAUCAGUCGAAGAGUGUAAAGGCAGAAGGAAGCUUGACUGCGAGACCUACAAGUCGAGCAGGGACGAAAGUCGGACUUAGUGAUCCGGCGGUACCGAAUGGAAGGGCCGUCGCUCAACGGAUAAAAGCUACCCCGGGGAUAACAGGCUGAUCACUCCCAAGAGUUCACAUCGACGGAGUGGUUUGGCACCUCGAUGUCGGCUCAUCGCAUCCUGGGGCUGAAGUCGGUCCCAAGGGUUGGGCUGUUCGCCCAUUAAAGCGGUACGCGAGCUGGGUUCAGAACGUCGUGAGACAGUUCGGUCCCUAUCCGUCGUGGGCGCAGGAAGUUUGAGAGGAGCUGUCCUUAGUACGAGAGGACCGGGAUGGACAUACCGCUGGUGUAUCAGUUGUCGUGCCAACGGCAUAGCUGAGUAGCUACGUAUGGAAGGGAUAAACGCUGAAAGCAUCUAAGCGUGAAGCCCCCCUCAAGAUGAGACUUCCCAUCCGUAAGGAGUAAGAACCCUUGAAGACGACAAGGUAGAUAGGUCAGAGGUGGAAGUGUGGUGACACAUGAAGCUGACUGAUACUAAUCGUUCGAGGACUUAACCUA
rfam:Haloplasma contractile SSD-17B Contig27, whole genome shotgun sequence.